rnacentral:rRNA from 1 species
AGAAUGAACGUUGGCGGCGUGGAUUAGGCAUGCAAGUCGCGCGCCCCGCAAGGGGAGCGGCGCAAGGGUGAGUAAGGCGACGGUAACCAACCCCCGGAUGGGCAUAGCCGCGGGAAACUGCGGGUAAUUCCGACGCGAAGGUCCGGAGACUGGCAUCAGUCUUUGACCAAAGUUCCGGCGCCGGGGGACGGGCCGUCGUGGUAUUAGCUAGUUGGCGGGGUGAUGGCCCACCAAGGCGGCGAUGCCUACCGGGCGUGCGAGCGUGGCCCGGCACACUGGGACUGAGACACUGCCCAGACUCUUACGGGAGGCUGCAGUCGAGAAUCUUCGGCAAUGGGCGCAAGCCUGACCGAGCGACGCCGCGUGGAGGACGAAGGCCUUCGGGUUGUAAACUCCUGUCGAGGGGGAGGAAGCCGCAAGGUUGACCGAUCCCUGGAGGAAGCACGGGCUAAGUUCGCGCCAGCAGCCGC